AUUUGGCCGGGCAAGAGACAACAUCAGUACUUCUGGUUUGGACAAUGGUUCUGUUGAGCCAACACCAAGAUUGGCAGGCUCGUGCACGAGAGGAAG
rnacentral:sRNA from 1 species